rnacentral:tRNA from 1 species
GCAUUGGUGGUUCAGUGGUAGAAUUCUCGCCUGCCACGCGGGAGGACCGGGGUCGAUUCCCGGCCAAUUCA